UCACUUCCGCCCCGCACGCCCACCCACCCUUGGGGCAGCCAUGUCAGUGAGGACCUGGGAGACGGGGCCCUGCGACGCCAUGUUUAACUGAUGGAUUUUCUGCAAGACAGGGGAGUUGAGAUUCUGAAGGCCCUGGGGCAGACUUCCUGAGCCGAGACUCACCAUCCCCCAAGGCACAUGGCUUCUCCUUUGAUGCAGCUUCUCCUGUUCUCCCAACAAGACAGCUUUCAUAUUAAAAAUUCUCUUCUUCCUUCUAA